rnacentral:rRNA from 1 species
UACGUAGGUGGCAAGCGUUGUCCGGAUUUAUUGGGCUUAAAGGGUGCGUAGGCGGUCUAUUAAGUCAGCGGUGAAAUACUCCAGCUUAACUGGAGGGGUGCCAUUGAUACUGAUGGACUUGAGUCAAGUCGAGGUAGGCGGAAUUGACGGUGUAGCGGUGAAAUGCUUAGAUAUCGUCAAGAACACCAAUAGUGAAGACAGCUUACUGGGCUUAAACUGACGCUGAGGCACGAAAGUGUGGGGAUCGAACAGG